rnacentral:ncRNA from 2 species
AAGGAUCUUCGGGGCAGGGUGAAAUUCCUGACCGGCGGUAAACGUUAAUUCUGCUUGGCAGAGGAUAGCAAAGCCCGCGACUCCCUGAGCUGACUAACAGCAAGGGGACUGACUUGGUGCAACUCCAAGGCCGACGGUAUAGUCCGGAUGAUAGAAGAUCGCU